AAAAACAAUACUUUACCCAGUCUUCACCUAUGUCUCCCUGUUCUUCUUUCGUCGAAUUCUCAUUCUGUUCUUGAUAGAAUUCAUUUAAAAUGGCCAGGGUAUCAGCAGGCAACUUAGGCUCAUUAUUACAGCUAAUUGUAACAUCAUUAUAAAUGUCGCUCAUACCGACAGAAAACUGCACAAAAAAACGGCUGAACCAAGUCACUUAAUUGCAGAAUCGUUGUAAACUCAAUACGACGAGUAAAAUCUCCAAAAUAAGGACAAAUGUCCAGUAGUUUUAUUAAAUACAAGGACAAAUUUCCAAUACAAAGACAAAUUUCCAGAAAUAUUAUAUUAAAGCACUACAGAACGCUAG